rnacentral:rRNA from 1 species
UUGAACGCUGGCGGCAGGCCUAACCCAUGCAAGUCGAGCGGAUGAAGGGAGCUUGCUCCUGGAUUCAGCGGCGGACGGGUGAGUAAUGUCUAGGAAUCUGCCUGGUAGUGGGGGAUAACGUCCGGAAACGGGCGCUAAUACCGCAUACGUCCUGAGGGAGAAAGUGGGGGAUCUUCGGACCUCACGCUAUCAGAUGAGCCUAGGUCGGAUUAGCUAGUUGGUGGGGUAAAGGCCUACCAAGGCGACGAUCCGUAACUGGUCUGAGAGGAUGAUCAGUCACACUGGAACUGAGACACGGUCCAGACUCCUACGGGAGGCAGCAGUGGGGAAUAUUGGACAAUGGGCGAAAGCCUGAUCCAGCCAUGCCGCGUGUGUGAAGAAGGUCUUCGGAUUGUAAAGCACUUUAAGUUGGGAGGAAGGGCAGUAAGUUAAUACCUUGCUGUUUUGACGUUACCAACAGAAUAAGCACCGGCUAACUUCGUG